rnacentral:rRNA from 1 species
UACGGAGGGUCCAAGCGUUAUCCGGAUUUAUUGGGUUUAAAGGGUCCGCAGGCGGAAAAAUAAGUCAGUGGUGAAAUCCUAUCGCUUAACGAUAGAACUGCCAUUGAUACUGUUUUUCUUGAGUAUACUUGAAGUGGGCGGAAUGUGUCAUGUAGCGGUGAAAUGCAUAGAUAUGACACAGAACACCGAUUGCGAAGGCAGCUCACUAAAUUAUAACUGACGCUCAUGGACGAAAGCGUGGGGAGCAAAC